rnacentral:tRNA from 1 species
GACCUGGUGGUGCAAUGGUUAAGCACUUGGCUGCUAACCAAAAGGCUGCUGGUUCAAAUCCACCCAGCAUCU